GUAACCAUGAAGUAACGCAAACUAAAACAUCUAAACAAGAAAGAGGGAAAGCAACAGAAUGCACUUUGUCAAAAAUUUGGGACGUGUGUACUGAAAUCAAUCCAGCCCCCUUUAUCUAUUUAAACAUAGAUAAACUAGUGCCAAAAACAUCAAUUCAAUUCAAUUUCAUUUGUAUUGCACCAAAUCAUAAUGUACAUUAUCUCAAGACAGGGUAAGGUUAAGAUAUUACAUUAUUGUAGAGAGACUUUUUCAGAAAUUCCAUCAGAUUGUGUACUGCAUCUCACCAUAUAUAUCAGUAAAUAAUCCUAUGUCUUUUCUUUUAACAGAGAAAUCAGUGUAACCAUCACACAUCCAAACCUAACCUUCAGGAGGAUUCUUUACAAGGGCUGAAACAACACAAACACUUAACAUCUCAGUGGCGGCUGGUCAAUACGGGGCGCUGGGGCGCCGCCCCCUUCCAAUUAUGCAGAUGAGAAAGACUAUAUCAUAUUAAACAUAAAUUAAUUAAGCAAAAGUGUUUAUUAAGUCAAAAUUUUUCUUACUCAUCCUACUCCACACUGUAUCCAUCUAAUUAUUUUAAUCCGUUUUUAAACUUUAUUUAAAUUUUAUAUGAAUAUGUAUACUUCCACCAGUUGGCCCAAUGAGUGUGUUUAUAGCUGCUAAAACUUUUGGAGAGCAGGUGACCUGCAGCUGCGUUAUAUUUGGCCUAAUUGACACUCCUUUUAUCAGAAGCCAAUUGGAAUUGAUUUUAAGUUUUUCUUUUAAUGUGAUUGGAUGGUUUUCUACGGACUUCCAUAUUUGACGCUGUGACUCACUCCUGCUCGUUAGACCGGAGCUUUCAGAAGAUGUAAAGUUCAAGUGGACCUGCGGAGAAAGACAUUUCUAUUCUUUCUUUACAGAAACAUCCUUUUACACGGCGUACACUGGAAGAAAAUAAGAGGAUAAAAAAGCAUGGACCGGGCCACCCCAAUUUAAACAUUAAGGAGCAGGCAGGUGAUUGAGGACAGGCUUACACUCGGGGCUUCUCCCGUUCUUGUUAUCACAAACGGAGCUGGCUUGCUGGAUGCGGAUGUCUCCCCCUCCACAUCUGUCCUGGCUCUUUGUUGACUGGACAAAGACUUCUCACUCGCAGCUGGAAAUUGAGCAAAUCAUGACAUCAACAAGUAAAGUUGUUCAUCCAUUCAGCCACGGACAUUCAUCGCUCAGCCUGCCCUGCUCCAAUGCCAACCUUGGCCAAAUCCCCAGCUCCCACCUGCCCAGCUUCAUCACCUGUCCCGGACCCCCCUGCCUGAACCCUCAGCAAACCUCCUUUUGAACAUUUUUUAAAACUGUUUAAUCAAGCAUCUCCGAGUCCUGUAUUUGAGUCGAGAUUUGUUACAAAACCUAACAGAACAAUCUGCCCAUACAAUGGACUCAACAGACUCAGAUCCAAAAUACACCUUCCUGCAAAAGCCCAUAGCCAAUCUAGGAACACUCCUCAGAAAUUGGAUCACUUCAUGGCUGUUUGUCCCGUCUGGUCAAAAAACUGGGCUCGUUCAUAGCCCCAUCUAAACAACGCCUUCAGUGGUCACUGCCAUUCCUCCCCAGCCUGAACCUCCUGAUUUCUCAACAGUUGGGGUAGGAAUACCACAUACUGGAAGACGUAUUCAGCAAGGAGUUAGCGCUUUGGUAACAGGUACUCUGGCAUAUGACAGUCAAAAGGUAAGUUGAACCUGACUUCGAUUGAGGCAAAGGACCCCCACAGUCCCACUAUCAAAUGCUCAAACUGUUGGCUGAUAGCAGGAACGGGACA